UAGAAAUGCACCUUGGAGACAAACGUUUUGGCUAACCAGUGCUGCUAAACCCACCUAAAGUGCUGCAAACUGAUCCUAACCUGUCUGGGAUGUUACUCGUGGAUCAAGGCAAUGAGAACAAAUGCUAUAAAUUAUAAAUUGGGAUUCCUGUGGAUACUCUGGACUGUUGUACUCCUGAACCGAACACUAA
rnacentral:lncRNA from 12 species